rnacentral:lncRNA from 1 species
CCAACAGCCGUGACCUGCCGGGCCACCCCACCGGCAGAGCUGGGCCGCAGGGCAGGCCUCGCCCACGCCCUCCGCAGCGCCUGCCGCCCUCGGGCCGGCCUCUCCCAGGGCCCUUCACGGGCUCUAGGGAGUCACCAUGCUUCUGAACCUCCCUGGGUCCCAGGGCUGCAUCUGCACCGGCCAGACAUUUGGGAGAGCAAGGCCAGAGGGGGCUCCCACGCAGCCUUCCCUCCCCAGCACCCCAGGCCAGCCCCUGCAGGAGCUUAGCAGACAGACUCAAGCAGGUGAGGCAACAGGCCGUAAGUAUACGAAGAGAGGGGCAGCGCUGCCGGGGUCCAAGAACUACUCCCGGAGACCAGAGUGCAUGGGGAGCCCCCGGGGGAAGAAACGUCAUCGACACGGAGCAGCCACCCGCGGCGUGCCCCGGCAGGGGCGUCGACUGGGGGGCAAGCGUGUCACCGUUACCCCACACUUCGGGGCGCCAGCCUCCACCCCAGCGCCGACCCCUACCCCACUAGGCCGGCCUGGGAAGGGUCUGCGCAGGCGCACACGGCCGCGCCCCG